rnacentral:tRNA from 1 species
GGGGGUAUAGCUCAAAUGGUGAGAGCGAUCGCCUGUCGAGCGAUAGGUUGCGAGUACCCUGCGGGAAGCCACCCAAAGGGUGUCUACAAGUCUCGUUACUCCCG